rnacentral:rRNA from 2 species
AGAGUUUGAUCAUGGCUCAGGACGAACGCUGGCGGCGUGCCUAAUACAUGCAAGUCGAACGAACUCUGGUAUUGAUUGGUGCUUGCAUCAUGAUUUACAUUUGAGUGAGUGGCGAACUGGUGAGUAACACGUGGGAAACCUGCCCAGAAGCGGGGGAUAACACCUGGAAACAGAUGCUAAUACCGCAUAACAACUUGGACCGCAUGGUCCGAGUUUGAAAGAUGGCUUCGGCUAUCACUUUUGGAUGGUCCCGCGGCGUAUUAGCUAGAUGGUGGGGUAACGGCUCACCAUGGCAAUGAUACGUAGCCGACCUGAGAGGGUAAUCGGCCACAUUGGGACUGAGACACGGCCCAAACUCCUACGGGAGGCAGCAGUAGGGAAUCUUCCACAAUGGACGAAAGUCUGAUGGAGCAACGCCGCGUGAGUGAAGAAGGGUUUCGGCUCGUAAAACUCUGUUGUUAAAGAAGAACAUAUCUGAGAGUAACUGUUCAGGUAUUGACGGUAUUUAACCAGAAAGCCACGGCUAACUACGUGCCAGCAGCCGCGGUAAUACGUAGGUGGCAAGCGUUGUCCGGAUUUAUUGGGCGUAAAGCGAGCGCAGGCGGUUUUUUAAGUCUGAUGUGAAAGCCUUCGGCUCAACCGAAGAAGUGCAUCGGAAACUGGGAAACUUGAGUGCAGAAGAGGACAGUGGAACUCCAUGUGUAGCGGUGAAAUGCGUAGAUAUAUGGAAGAACACCAGUGGCGAAGGCGGCUGUCUGGUCUGUAACUGACGCUGAGGCUCGAAAGUAUGGGUAGCAAACAGGAUUAGAUACCCUGGUAGUCCAUACCGUAAACGAUGAAUGCUAAGUGUUGGAGGGUUUCCGCCCUUCAGUGCUGCAGCUAACGCAUUAAGCAUUCCGCCUGGGGAGUACGGCCGCAAGGCUGAAACUCAAAGGAAUUGACGGGGGCCCGCACAAGCGGUGGAGCAUGUGGUUUAAUUCGAAGCUACGCGAAGAACCUUACCAGGUCUUGACAUACUAUGCAAAUCUAAGAGAUUAGACGUUCCCUUCGGGGACAUGGAUACAGGUGGUGCAUGGUUGUCGUCAGCUCGUGUCGUGAGAUGUUGGGUUAAGUCCCGCAACGAGCGCAACCCUUAUUAUCAGUUGCCAGCAUUAAGUUGGGCACUCUGGUGAGACUGCCGGUGACAAACCGGAGGAAGGUGGGGAUGACGUCAAAUCAUCAUGCCCCUUAUGACCUGGGCUACACACGUGCUACAAUGGAUGGUACAACGAGUUGCGAACUCGCGAGAGUAAGCUAAUCUCUUAAAGCCAUUCUCAGUUCGGAUUGUAGGCUGCAACUCGCCUACAUGAAGUCGGAAUCGCUAGUAAUCGCGGAUCAGCAUGCCGCGGUGAAUACGUUCCCGGGCCUUGUACACACCGCCCGUCACACCAUGAGAGUUUGUAACACCCAAAGUCGGUGGGGUAACCUUUUAGGAACCAGCCGCCUAAGGUGGGACAGAUGAUUAGGGUGAAGUCGUAACAAGGUAGCCGUAGGAGAACCUGCGGUUGGAUCACCUCCUU